UACGGGGGGGGCAAGCGUUGUUCGGAAUUACUGGGCGUAAAGGGCUCGUAGGCGGCCAACUAAGUCGGACGUGAAAUCCCUCGGCUUAACCGGGGAACUGCGUCCGAUACUGGAUGGCUUGAGUUUGGGAGAGGGAUGCGGAAUUCCAGGUGUAGCGGUGAAAUGCGUAGAUAUCUGGAGGAACACCGGUGGCGAAGGCGGCAUCCUGGACCAAUACUGACACUCAAGUGCGAAAGCGUGGGGAGCAAACAGG
rnacentral:rRNA from 1 species